GCGAGCGGCGGAUGGGUGAGUAACACGUGGGGAACCUGCCCCUAAGUCUGGGAUACCAUUUGGAAACAGGUGCUAAUACCGGAUAAUAAAGCAGAUCGCAUGAUCAGCUUUUGAAAGGCGGCGUAAGCUGUCGCUAAGGGAUGGCCCCGCGGUGCAUUAGCUAGUUGGUAAGGUAACGGCUUACCAAGGCGACGAUGCAUAGCCGAGUUGAGAGACUGAUCGGCCACAUUGGGACUGAGACACGGCCCAAACUCCUACGGGAGGCAGCAGUAGGGAAUCUUCCACAAUGGACGCAAGUCUGAUGGAGCAACGCCGCGUGAGUGAAGAAGGUUUUCGGAUCGUAAAGCUCUGUUGUUGGUGAAGGAGGAUAGAGGUAGUAACUGGCCUUUAUUUGACGGUAAUCAACCAGAAAGUCACGGCUAACUACGUGCCAGCAGCCGCGGUAAUACGUAGGUGGCAAGCGUUGUCCGGAUUUAUUGGGCGUAAAGCGAGCGCAGGCGGAAAAAUAAGUCUAAUGUGAAAGCCCUCGGCUUAACCGAGGAACUGCAUCGGAAACUGUUUUUCUUGAGUGCAGAAGAGGAGAGUGGAACUCCAUGUGUAGCGGUGGAAUGCGUAGAUAUAUGGAAGAACACCAGUGGCGAAGGCGGCUCUCUGGUCUGCAACUGACGCUGAGGCUCGAAAGCAUGGGGUAGCGAACAGGAUUAGAUACCCCUGGUAGUCCAUGCCGUAAACGAUGAGUGCUAAGUGUUGGGAGGUUUCCCCCUCUCAGUGCUGCA
rnacentral:rRNA from 1 species